AGACACUUGAGCUGUUGAGACCUUCAUCUUCUCCACUAUUGGCUUUCUCAGCUGCAAAUCAAGACAGAAAAGCAUGAGGAAAGUGGCCUUCAAAUUGAGAAGAGGCCGUGAAAGCUGCUGCAGUAAUGUUGCUAUCUCUCUGUGCAGAGCGAGUCUGAUUUGCACUGGCUGCAGCUCCUCUAUUUAUACUCCCAAAUCUCCAUAUGAAUGUGUGAGGCUUGAGCUUGUUGGAGUUUCUCACAGUUUGGAGCCAAUGGAAGAGCUCAAACAGACAAUGAGGGAUGUAGGCCGCCACAUGCUCGAUUAUCCUCUAUCAGGAGCUUAAAGCCCGUGUCUCAGGGGAGCAGGUGGAAGGUGACGUCACACUCAUGUUGGACUCCAGAUGAAGCAGAUGUGUGUGUGUUUGUGCUGGUCAGUGUGAGUAGAUCUCAUGUGAGGUUCCCACACUGACUCUCUUCUUCACAUCAAUGGAGCACAAAAGCAUCCAGAGUCCUGAAUGGAGCAUUAGUGACGCUGAAGACUCUGUGUUCUUCCUGACGUCACCAACCAUCUGGAGGGAAACGGCCGGACUGGAUGAUGAUGAUGCAAAAAAUGUCUAUCAUAUAAAGGUCAGUCUGUGAUGGACGUUCACUUCAGAACAAUGGCGUCACGUCCUUUUCUGGAGAGGGAGAAAGACGCAGAAGUUCGCGAGAACACCUGGAGUAGCCGCUGGGGAAGAUUAAGGCCUUUUUCGAGC